rnacentral:rRNA from 1 species
GGAAUAUUGGACAAUAGCCGGGAGGCUGAUCCAGCCAUGCCGCGUGCGGGAAGACGGCCCUAUGGGUUGUAAACCGCUUUUGUCGGGGAGCAAUAAGUAGUACGCGUACUACGAUGAGAGUACCUGGCGAAUAAGCAUCGGCUAACUCCGUGCCAGCAGCCGCGGUAAUACGGAGGAUGCGAGCGUUAUCCGGAUUUAUUGGGUUUAAAGGGUGCGUAGGCGGCUUGUUAAGCGUGAGGUGAAAUGCCCGGGCUCAACCUGGGGACUGCCUCGCGAACUGGCUGGCUUGAAUGCUCCUGCCGUGGGAGGAAUGUGUGGUGUAGCGGUGAAAUGCAUAGAGAUCACACAGAACACCGAUUGCGAAGGCAUCUCACGAAGGGGUGAUUGACGCUGAGGCACGAAAGCGUGGGGAUCAAACA